rnacentral:lncRNA from 1 species
CCACAGCAUCGUCGCACCCGGUUCAAGACUGCUGACACUGAGAAUGGAUUUCUUGACAAAUAUAUAUUUAUGGAUUAAGAGAGAACACUUCAAAAGGAGUCGUGGAGCAGAGGUGAAGGUGGUUGAGGUGGAGGUGGAGGAGUUCAUCAAAAGCUCCAUCAGUGACCAUGAUGGGUCAUAUGUCUGCAAAAGUCAGAAUACACAACCCUUUCAUUUUUACUGUGAACAACACAAGGCACGAGGAAAGUCGACAGGGCAGCCACAGGACACCAGGACAAACAGCUGUAAGGACUACAGUGCUUUUGGAAAGUAUUCAGACCCCUUGACUUUUUCCACUUUUUGUUACGUUACAGCCUUAUUCUAAAAUGGAUUAAAUAAAUAAAAAAUCCUCAGCAAUCUACACACAAUGCCCCAUAAUGACAAAGCGAAAACUGGUUUUUAGACAUUUUUUAAAAUGUUUAAAAAAUAAAAAAUGCCUUAUUUACAAAAGUAUUCAGCACCUUUGCUAUGAGACUCGAAAUUGAGCUCAGGUGCAUCCUGCUUCCAUUGGUCAUCCUUGAAAUGUUUUUAUAACUUGAUUGGAAUCCACCUGUGGUAAAUUCAAUUGAUUGGACAUGAUUUGAAAAAGACACACUCCUGUCUAUAUAAGGUCCCACAGAUGACAGUGCAUGUCAGAGAAAAAACCAAGCCAUGAGGUCGAAAGAAUUGUCUGUGGAGCUCAGAGACAGGAUUGUGUCGAGGCACAGAUCUGGGGAAGGGUAACAAAUAAUGUCUGUAGCACUGAAGGUCCCCAAGAACAAGUGGCCUCCAUCAUUCAUAAAUGGAAGAAGUUUGGAACCACCAAGACUUUUCCUAGAGCUGGCCGCCCAGCCACAAUGAGCAAUCAGGGGAGAAGGGCCUUGGUCAGGGAGGUGAUCAAGAACCUGAUGGUCACUCUGACAGAGGUCUAGAGUUCCUCUGUGGAGAUGGGAGAACCUUCCAGAAGAACAACCAUCUCUGCAGCACCUGACAGAGCUUGAGAUGAUCUGCAGAGAACAAUGGGAGAAAUUCCCCAAAUACAGGUGAGCCAAGCAUGUAGCGUCAUACCGAAGAAGAAUCAAUGUUGUAAUCUCUG